rnacentral:rRNA from 1 species
ACGGGUGAGUAAUACAUCGGAACGUACCCUGUUGUGGGGGAUAACUAGUCGAAAGAUUAGCUAAUACCGCAUACGACCUGAGGGUGAAAGCGGGGGACCGUAAGGCCUCGCGCAGCAGGAGCGGCCGAUGUCUGAUUAGCUAGUUGGUGGGGUAAAGGCCCACCAAGGCGACGAUCAGUAGCUGGUCUGAGAGGACGAUCAGCCACACUGGGACUGAGACACGGCCCAGACUCCUACGGGAGGCAGCAGUGGGGAAUUUUGGACAAUGGGGGCAACCCUGAUCCAGCAAUGCCGCGUGUGUGAAGAAGGCCUUCGGGUUGUAAAGCACUUUUGUCCGGAAAGAAAACGCUCUGGUUAAUACCUGGGGUGGAUGACGGUACCGGAAGAAUAAGCACCGGCUAACUACGUGCCAGCAGCCGCGGUAAUACGUAGGGUGCGAGCGUUAAUCGGAAUUACUGGGCGUAAAGCGUGCGCAGGCGGUUUUGUAAGACAGGCGUGAAAUCCCCGAGCUCAACUUGGGAAUUGCGCUUGUGACUGCAAGGCUAGAGUAUGUCAGAGGGGGGUAGAAUUCCACGUGUAGCA